AUGACAACUAUUCACGUCUCCUUAGAAGCAUGUCCAGGCUGCUCAGGUCCACUUCUGCCAUAUUCUUGUCCGGCUACGGCUCCUGGACGAUUCCUCUGCAAACUAAUAAAGCCAAGCAAGAACUCUCACUACACAGAGCUAUAUUGGUGCGUUGAAUUGUGCCCUCAUCCCUGCCUCCGUCUCCAGUCCCAUCUACAUGAGCCCCACUCGAUGAACAGAGACCGAGUAAACACAGACAGUCACAGCUCCACUUUAGCGCCCACUGCCACGCAUGCUUUUCGUCCGCUCCAACUUCUCCAUGGCUCCCGAGACCUGGCCUCUGGGGAUGCACACCUAGCACACCUGCCUGUGUCCUACGAAGGGAGGCAGAACAAGGAAAGGCAAGGACAGAGAGAGAGAUAGAGGGUGUGUGUUGGCCAAUGUACUAGAGAAGACAGACAGAGAGAGAAAAACACGGGAAGAAAGCAAGCAACUGACCACCUGGAGUCAUCCUCCUGAAUCCAACCUUCCCCUACGGAGGACACACCGUUCCUGGCCAGAGAAAUGAGCAACCACUGAAAAUAGGGAACUUUUCUCCCUCGUAACCACAGCUAGUCAGGAACCUUUUCAUACAAACCCAGCCCUAACGUACUGGGCUUCCCUACCUGGACUCAGGUUGGGCGUGAGCAGAGCCCUCAUGAAACCAGACACUUAUCUCACUGACAGCGGCGUCUCCUCGGCUCCCAGAUAGAUGGCUUUUGUGUGACAUCAACAAUGCUCAGAGUCUCGACUCUCUGGCUCGCUUUCCAUCCCAUGAGGGCAGUAGACUGACGUGUGACUUUGUUUUCCUUGGUACUAAAUCCAGGUUGGGGGGGAUUAGCAUCUCCGUCUGCAAUGUCGCGUACUCUCUUCAUUUCACAUCUCCCAUAUCCCACGGCUCCACCCUCAACCCAUCUCCCAUUACUAAGUUACAACUGCAUCUAGAAGGCACCCAUUGUAACGGCACCCAAAAUACUCACUUUCCUUAGGAGACUCGUCCCUUUCCCAGCCUUAAUCCCAGAGCCUCGUACCCAACGAGGAAGCACACGGCCUAUGAAGAAUACUACAGCGAGCACAGAUUGGAGAAGGAGGCCAGGAUGGGGGGGAAGAUUUGAAGCACCAAU
rnacentral:lncRNA from 1 species